ensembl:lncRNA
CUGGUGCUGGGGAUGUGCCCGGGGUCACAGCUAAUGGAGGUUCUGCACUGAUUUUGUUCUUACUAUCCCUGAGCAGAAUGGAAAAGCUGUGUUCAGCUUAAUGUGGGCAAAGGGCAGAAGGGUGCUGCUCUGUAAUAGACAAAUAAUGCUCCAGCAAAGCAGAACUGGAGGACAAGUUUUGAUUCCCUGAGUGCUACAAAAAAAUAAACCAUCCCUGGAAGGUUUGCAUGAGCCUCACAGGAACAGAAAACCAGUGCAGAUGGAGAUGCAGCAAUGCGAUGGAUGCUGCAAGAAUGCCUUUGGAGGAUGGGCAAGGAAUGAGCAGCAUAUUUGUGUCUGAAAGGAACAAAAAUCAUACAGAACUCCUGAAAUAUACAUCAGAACAUUCAUCCUGCAGCUCAGCCCAGGAGGAAGGCGUUGAGAGGAGAGGCAGCACUCAGCAGAGCCGCCCUCACCCACAGAAACCCAAAUUCAAGCUGGAUUCCUCAUUUUCUCUGGGAAGACUGACAUGGAUGAUUUCAAUGCAGUGGGUUGUUGGGCGCCGUCUUUCAAAUAGGAGUUUUGCAUUAAAAAUUGGAAACAAAAUGAAGCCAACUUCAAGUGCUAACCCAGAAAGAGGCUUAACAUCUUCUCCAAUCUAUCUGCUGGUCUUCUUUUGUUUCUAACACUGAAAGCUGAGUUCCGCUGUGUAUCAAAACAACUUUUGAAAUACUGAUAUGGAAGAAAAAGUCUUGUUUUGAAACAGGUCACUUGGAAAUCAAUACUCAAAACAUUACACUACUAUAGAGACUGUCACCUAUAUAAUAAUCCCAUUUACUUGUUAGAAGAAAGCUUAAAUAUUCAGAAGGAAUGAAUUAGCAUAGUGUUUCCAUUGGAAACUAACCAGAGGGUAGGUGUGCUCUUGCAUUUGGGUAGAUGCAGUCAUUCAAACUAUUCUGCUUUGCCCUGCUUUCCUCUGCUGAGAGGGUCAGAACAAAUAAAACACUUUAAUUCGGUUUAUAUUCCAUUUCAUUUUUCCAAUCCCAGAUAGUUAACCACGCUAUACAGAGCCAACAGAAUUGGUUAAACACCGGUGUCUCACUGGCACGCUCACACGCAUUGCAGAUACAUACACAGACAUAUGGAAGUGUGCAGAAAAUGAACUGUGAAUCAGUUUAACGUAGAAGGCAGGAUUCCCACACAUCCACUAGAAGGCAAUUAGGGAGGAGGCAGCAGCUGAGGAACAGCCAG